rnacentral:lncRNA from 10 species
GGGGCGGGCUGGGCGCUGGCACCACGACCGCCCGCUGAGCAACGUGACUGCGCGGGCUCGGGUCCCCACCAGGACAAGGCGGCCUCUGUGCCGACCCAGCUGAUUCCUCUCGGGCUGCAAAUCCCUUCCGGCUGACAGCCCUGCCGGCUGGGGCCAGGCAAGGGAACGGGAAGCGGGGUUGGGGGCGAGGUGGGCGCUGAGGAUUGGAGCCCAUUGGCGGGAGGCCCCCAGGAAGGCCGUCUGCUCCGUACAUCCAGGGUAGCAAAGGCUACCGUUCCCGGACAGAGAAGCCGAGGCUAGGAGAGGUCCAAUUACUAGCCCAAGUCGCACAACUUGUUUCUUGGUUAAAGCCAGAGUUCUAAAUGACGCCCCAUGAUAAACUCUGUAUUUGUUGUUGAGAGUUAGGUGGCGUUAUUAGUCUCAGUUUAUAAAUGAAGGAAUGUGAGGCUCAGAGUUGAAGCCGCCAGCCCAACGUCCUAAGACAAGAAGGGAGUGAGGCUGGGACUGGAGCCCAGGACUGCCUGCUCCAAAACAUGGGGGCCAGGCAGUCCCAGCAGACCCCUGACCCCAGGUAAUCACUGACAACAAGCCGGAGGCUCUGCCAUGGGCCCGUCCCAGGGUCCCCCUGCUCAUGGCCUUCUGUCUGGUUGGUUCAGUGUGGUGGACCCGAGGAAUGAGUUCCGUUAAUCUCCUGGAGGACAGAUGUGGGGCUGAAGGAGGGAGAUGGGGUGAGGGUGGAGGCGCCAGGUGGCUGGAGAGGGGACUGGAGGGCAAUGCAUCUGGGAAAUGACUUUCCAGAGGUCCCUCUGCCCUCCCCCUGCAGCUGGGGACGGAGCUGGAACCCCAGAGGCCAUGAGGGUGGGCUGGGGAACCAUCCAGGAUCCAGCCUCACCCUGGCCUCCCAGGAACAGGAUGGGGAUUGUCCCGUGAAUUCUAUGGAAUUAAAAAAUGGCACCUUCUCAGCGGGAAGGGAGCUCGGCUGGUUCCCGGGACUGUCUGGCUUCUGUCCUGACUCCUACAACUGCGGCGGCUUGGGACUUUUUCCAUUCCUUGACCAAGAUUUGACCUAGACAGGGAGUGUGGGGGCUCAGGGGAGGAGGGAGGAUGGCAGGCGCAUGGGGGCGACUGCUGAGUGGACACGUGACCUCCCGCUAUGCAUGUGCCUGUGUGUCUGCACAGAAUGAAUAUCUCUGUGAUGUUCUUAUGCACAUGUGCCUCUGAGAACGGAUCGUGGUGGCUCUGGCGGGGUGGGCGUAUUGUAUCUGUGGGUGCUGUUUGUGCCUGGGCACCUUGACCCUGCCAGGAUCUGCGUUAUCUCUCCGAGUCUGUGUGUUUGUGGCUGAACCUGUAUCUAUGAGUCUUUGUGUGUGUCUGGGUUUCCGCCCCCAACAGAGCCUGAAUGCCAUUUUGCUGCCUGAAUGUGCAGAGGAAUGUAGGGGGCCAAGGGAGAGGGGAGCACAUGUCCUGGGCUGUGGGCCUGCUGGUUAUGGAAAACUACUGAGGCCUCCUGGAGCUGGGCAGGCCAGGCCCGGCCCAGAGCCAGGCUCUGCAGCUUUUGCCCUUCCAGGCUCCUCCCACCCCUUCUCUGCAGGGCUGGGGACCUGCUGAGAUGGGUUCUUGGUGGAGCAGAGAGCAUGGCCUCCCUCCCACCACUCCCCAGAUGGUUUGCCAGGCCUGGGGGAAAAGUAAGAGGGCGAGAUUAGUUUCCUCUGAAGUCCUCCCAGCCCCAACAUUCUCUCCAUUCUGUGAAUGUUAAAGGGAUUUUAAAAAGGCAACUUCACCUCUAUUUUGGGGGAUGGUGAAAGCAGUAGGGUCUCAGACUGUUAGAGCAAGAAGGCUCCUAAAGAUUAUCUAGUCCCACCCCCUCCGUCUUACAGAUGAGGGCACAGGCCCAGAGUGAGGGAUCUGGAUCCCCCAAUCACCUUCUGGAAGGGCAAGGACCAUGUUAUCAGGUCCGCUGUCUCCCCAUCACCACAGGCCUCUCCUCCAUCAUGCUGCAUGACCUACCCUGGGUAGAGGAAGAGGAAUUUGAGAAGGCCUUGGAGGGAGCAUUUUGACAUAUGGAGGUGGGGUUGAGACUCUGGGUGGCAAGAAGACAUGGGUUAAGGUGUGGAAGUGGGCAGCUGAGGAGUGCGGUCAGAAUGGAGAGUGGGACAAUUGGACACACUGGGUCCUAGGACUGAAAUGGCGUGUCUGAGCUAUACAUGAGGGUCCCCGCAGACCAGGUGGAAGCAUGUGGACUUUAUCCUGUAGGUGAUUCUGGUAAGAGGUAAAAUUGCCAUGUAGCUGAGUGGUUUAGGGCACAUGAUCUGCAGUCGAAUCAGAUUAUCUUGUAUUCCAAUCCCAGCUCUAAGACUUUGGUAACUGUAUAACCACACAUCCCUGAGCAGAUUAAACGCUCCAUACCUCACUUUUCUCAUCAUUGGAAUGGAGGUAAUAGGCCAUGCAUGGUGGCUUGCAUCUAUAAUCCCAGCACUUUGGGAGGCCGAGACAGGACAAUAGCUUGAGUCCAGGAGUUUGAGACCAGCCUGGACAAUGUAGUGAGGCCUUGUCUCUAUUAAGAAAAAAAAAAAAAGAAAUGGAGAUAAUGAUAGUAUUUCCCUUCCAUGUUUGUCUUGAGGAAUAAAGGAGAAUACAGGCAAAGCCCUCAAUGCCUGACACUGGUCAGUGCUCAGUAAUAGCUGUGAUGCUCCUGGUGGUGAGGCCUGUAUUUAAGGCUAGCCCAGAGGGACAGAGAGAGGACAGGGACACCAGUGGGGAGUCCACGAGAAUCAUGUGGAUGAGAUGCCACGCUGAGGUCCAUGACGCUGUCCCCUGGGUUAACUGGCUGGAGUCCUCAGCAGGGCUGCAGGAAGGUGGGCAGAACCCCCUCCACUGAGUGGCCUUGAGUUUGUUCCUGGGUGACCAGCACCUGAAAAACCAUUUUCAGAGGAGGAUUGGUGGGAUGGGGAGGAGACUGGGGAGAGAUGGGGCUCAGCUUCUGACAGCCUGAGGGUAGUGGGGUGGGGCCCGGGAGAGAUUUGGGAAGCUCAGGUCACUCAUUGCUCGUGGUGCUGGAAGUUGCUGGUUUGGGUGAGGUCAUGCACCAGCCUAAGAGAGAGGAAAGGUGCCCUGCAACCCAGGGAACCCCUUUUGAGCCAGACCCUUGGGAGAAGCAGCAGCCACAGGGGCUAAGGAAACCAAGGUAAGCAGUGGUCAGAGAAGGUGAGGGAAGAAUGUGCUUCAAGGAGGGAGCAGUCAAGACAGCCCCGUCUGGGGAAACAGCCAGGUGAGGAGGUAGAGGUGGAGGAAAAGGCAGCACAGAGGCCAUGGGCUUUGGCAUUGAAGAGGCCACCUCUGUAGAAUCUGCUUUGCAGAAGAGGGAACAAAACCCAAGCUGCGGCUAGAUGAGGGAUUAAUUAAUGGGAUGGGGAAGUGGAAACAGAGGCAGGUGUCCUGUGACUGCUCAGCAGCUUGGCUGAGGAGAAGGGGGAACGAUUUGUGGCAGCCAGACAGGGGAGGUUCGGAGCCUUCUGGGGAUGGGAUGACAGGGGUGAUAUUCUCAUAUUUCCAGUGGAGAAACUGAGGCUCAGAGGGUUAAGAAGCUUGUGCAAAGUCACGAUAAAUUAUUGGGGGAAGGCAGCCCAAGAUCUCUGACUCUUAAUGUAGUAAUUUUCUAAAUGGACAAUUGAAAUAGUGUAAUACACACACACACACACACACACGGAUAUUAGUUCUGAUCAUAGAAGUAAAACAUGUGCAUGGGAGAAACCUAGAAACAUGUGCAAAAAUGUAAGAGAAAAACACAAAAAUCACCUGUAAUUCUACCACACAGAGAUAAAUGUUUUUACCAUUGUGUGUCAUGACUUUCUACUUUUUUCCUCUGCAAGUAUACGUAAAUACAUACUGGGAUCAUGUUGCACAAGGUGUUUUGUAAAUCCCUUGUUUCAUUUAGUAACAUAGCAUAAAUGCUUUUCCAUAAGAAUAAAUAUUCCUUGAGAAUUUUUUUUUCUCUUUUAGCUCACAGUCUAGGCAGGAAGAUAAGACUUACAGAUGGGAUUCUACAGUAAGCAGUCAAGCAAAAUUCAUGAGGUGGUGGCGAAGUGGCUGCAUCCCUGGACUGGGAGCACAGUGAGCUGGCUCUUUGGCUUCUGACUUGUCCACUGAUUGGUUAUGUGGCCUU